rnacentral:rRNA from 1 species
UACAGAGGUCUCAAGCGUUGUUCGGAUUCAUUGGGCGUAAAGGGUGCGUAGGCGGCGCGGUAAGUCGGGUGUGAAAUCUCGGAGCUUAACUCCGAAACUGCAUUCGAUACUGCCGUGCUUGAGGACUGGAGAGGAGACUGGAAUUUACGGUGUAGCGGUGAAAUGCGUAGAUAUCGGGAGGAACACCAGUGGCGAAGGCGACUACCUGGCCUGUUCUUGACGCUGAGGCGCGAAAGCUAGGGGAGCAAACGGG